rnacentral:rRNA from 1 species
UGGGGAAUUUUGGACAAUGGGGGCAACCCUGAUCCAGUAAUGCCGCGUGAGUGAAGAAGGCCUUCGGGUUGUAAAGCUCUUUUGUCAGGGAAGAAACACCGGCUCUAACACAGUCUGAGAAUGACGGUACCUGAAGAAUAAGCACCGGCUAACUACGUGCCAGCAGCCGCGGUAAUACGUAGGGUGCGAGCGUUAAUCGGAAUUACUGGGCGUAAAGCGUGCGCAGGCGGUUGUACAAGACAGGCGUGAAAUCCCCGGGCUUAACCUGGGAAUGGCGCCUGUGACCGUACGGCUAGAGCGUGUCAGAGGGGGGUAGAAUUUCACGUGUAGCAGUGAAAUGCGUAGAUAUGUGAAGGAAUACCAGUGGCGAAGGCAGCCCCCUGGGAUAACACUGACGCUCAUGUACGAAAGCGUGGGGAGCAAACAGG